CCGAUUAGAGUUUGAUCCUGGCUCAGGAUGAAUGCUGGCGGCGUGGAUAAGGCAUGCAAGUCAAGGGGACCGCAAGGUAACCGGCAGACGAAGUAGUAAUGCGCAGGUACGCACCGAAAAGUCUGGUAUAGCUCGUCGAAAGACGGGGUAAUCCCAGAUGGCACGGCGACGUUAAAGGGGUAACCCGCUUUUUGAGCGGCCUGCGUGGUAUCAGCUAGUUGGUAGUGUAAUGGACUACCAAGGCUAUGACACCUAGGGGGGCUGAGAGGCUGACCCCCACUGAUAGCACUGAGACACGGGCUAUACACCUACGGGUGGCUGCAGUCGAGAAUCUUCCACAAUGGACGAAAGUCUGAUGGAGCGACGCCGCGUGGUUGAUGAAGUCCUUCGGGACGUAAAAACCUUUUAUGAGGGAGGAAGUUAUUGACCGUUA
rnacentral:rRNA from 1 species